AACGUAGGGGACAAGCGUUAUCCGGAUUUACUGGGCGUAAAGCGCCCGUAGGCGGCCUGACAAGUUGGACGUGAAAGCUCCUGGCUUAACUGGGAGAGGCCGUUCAAAACUGUCAAGCUAGAGUCUGGAAGAGGAGAGCGGAAUUCCCGGUGUAGUGGUGGAAUGCGCAGAUAUCGGGAAGAACACCCCGUGGCUAAGGCGGCUCUCUAGUACGGUACUGACGCUGAGACGCGAAAGCGUGGGGAGCGAACAGG
rnacentral:rRNA from 1 species